UACGUAGGGGCUAGCGUUAUCCGGAAUUACUGUGCGUAAAGGGUGCGUAGGUGGUUUCUUAAGUCAGAGGUGAAAGGCUACGGCUCAACCGUAGUAAGCCUUUGAAACUGGGAAACUUGAGUGCAGGAGAGGAGAGUGGAAUUCCUAGUGUAGCGGUGAAAUGCGUAGAUAUUAGGAGGAACACCAGUUGCGAAGGCGGCUCUCUGGACUGUAACUGACACUGAGGCACGAAAGCGUGAGGAGCAAACAGGAUUAGAUACCCUGGUAGUCCCU
rnacentral:rRNA from 1 species